AACGAACGCUGGCGGCAUGCCUAACACAUGCAAGUCGAACGAACUCUUCGGAGUUAGUAGCGCACGGGUGCGUAACGCGUGGGAAUCUGCCCUUGGGUACGGAAUAACUCAGAGAAAUUUGUGCUAAUACCGUAUAAUGUCUUCGGACCAAAGAUUUAUCGCCCAAGGAUGAGCCCGCGUAAGAUUAGCUAGUUGGUGAG
rnacentral:rRNA from 1 species